AUUGAACGCUGGCGGCAGGCCUAACACAUGCAAGUCGAGCGGAUGAAGGGAGCUUGCUCCUGGAUUCAGCGGCGGACGGGUGAGUAAUGCCUAGGAAUCUGCCUGGUAGUGGGGGAUAACGUCCGGAAACGGGCGCUAAUACCGCAUACGUCCUGCGGGAGAAAGUGGGGGAUCUUCGGACCUCACGCUAUCAGAUGAGCCUAGGUCGGAUUAGCUAGUUGGUGGGGUAAAGGCCUACCAAGGCGACGAUCCGUAACUGGUCUGAGAGGAUGAUCAGUCACACUGGAACUGAGACACGGUCCAGACUCCUACGGGAGGCAGCAGUGGGGAAUAUUGGACAGUGGGCGAAAGCCUGAUCCAGCCAGGCCGCGUGUGUGAAGAAGGUCUUCGGAUUGUAAAGCACUUUAAGUUGGGAGGAAGGGCAGUAAGUUAAUACCUUGCUGGUUUGACGUUACCAACAGAAUAAGCACCGGCUAACUACGUG
rnacentral:rRNA from 1 species